rnacentral:rRNA from 1 species
CCUACGGGAGGCAGCAGUGAGGAAUAUUGGGCAAUGGACGAGAGUCUGAACGAGCCAAGUAGCGUGAAGGAUGACUGCCCUAUGGGUUGUAAACUGCGUUUAUAUGGGAAUAAAAUGUUCCACGUGUGGGAUUUUGUAUGUACCAUAUGAAUAAGGAUCGGCUAACCCCGUUCCAGCAGCCGCGGUAAUACGGAGGAGCCGAGCGUUAUCCGGAUUUAUUGGGUUUAAAGGGAGCGUAGGUGGCUUGUUAAGUCAGUUGUGAAAGUUUGCGGCUCAACCGUAAAAUUGCAGUUGAAACUGGCAGUCUUGAGUACAGUAGAGGUUGGCGGAAUUCGUGGUGUAGCGGUGAAAUGCUUAGAUAUCACGAAGAACUCCGAUGGCGAAGGCAGUUCACUGGACUGCAACUGACACUGAGGCUCGAAAGUGUGGGUAUCAAACAGGAUUAGAUACCCGUGUAGUC